rnacentral:rRNA from 1 species
UACCAGCUCUCCGAGUUGUGGGGAUGAUUAUUGGGCCUAAAGCAUCCGUAGCCGGCUGGGCAAGUCCUCUGUUAAAUCCAGCGACUAAUCGUUGGUCUGCGGGGGAUACUGUUCGGCUAGGGGGCGGGAGAGGCCGUCGGUAUUCUCGGGGUAGGGGUGAAAUCCUAUAAUCCCGGGAAGACCACCAGUGGCGAAGGCUGUCGGCUAGAACGCGCCCGACGGUGAGGGAUGAAAGCUGGGGGAGCGAACCGGAUUAGAUACCCGGGUAGUCCCAGCUGUAAACGAUGCAGGCUAGGUGUUAGGGCGGCUACGGGCCGCUCUAGUGCCGCAGGGAAGCUGUUAAGCCUGCCGCCUGGGGAGUACGGUCGCAAGGCUGAAACUUAAAGGAAUUGGCGGGGGAGCACCACAAGGGGUGAAGCUUGCGGUUUAAUUGGAGUCAACGCCGGAAAUCUCACCGGGGGCGACAGCAGUGUGAAGGCCAGAUUGAAGGUCUUGCCAGACGAGCUGAGAGGAGGUGCAUGGCCGUCGCCAGUUCGUGCCGUGAGGUGUCCUGUUAAGUCAGGCAACGAUCGAGACCCGCAUCCCCCGUUGCCACCAGCCUUGAGCUGAGCACACUGGGGAGACCGCCGUCGAUAAGACGGAGGAAGGAGCGGGCCACGGCAGGUCAGUAUGCCCCGAAUCUCCCGGGCCACACGCGAGCUGCAAUGGCAGGUACAAUGGGUUCCGACCUCGAAAGGGGAAGGAAAUCUCUAAAGCCUGCCGUAGUUGGGAUCGAGGGUUGAAACCCACCCUCGUGAACAUGGAAUCCCUAGUAAUCGCGUGUCACUAGCGCGCGGUGAAUACGUCCCUGCUCCU